CAGAUGGGAGCUUGCUCCCUGAUGUUAGCGGCGGACGGGUGAGUAACACGUGGGUAACCUGCCUGUAAGACUGGGAUAACUCCGGGAAACCGGGGCUAAUACCGGAUGCUUGUUUGAACCGCAUGGUUCAAACAUAAAAGGUGGCUUCGGCUACCACUUACAGAUGGACCCGCGGCGCAUUAGCUAGUUGGUGAGGUAAUGGCUCACCAAGGCAACGAUGCGUAACCGACCUGAGAGGGUGAUCGGCCACACUGGGACUGAGACACGGCCCAGACUCCUACGGGAGGCAGCAGUAGGGAAUCUUCCGCAAUGGACGAAAGUCUGACGGAGCAACGCCGCGUGAGUGAUGAAGGUUUUCGGAUCGUAAAGCUCUGUUGUUAGGGAAGAACAAGUACCGUUCGAAUAGGGCGGUACCUUGACGGUACCUAACCAGAAAGCCACGGCUAACUACGUGCCAGCAGCCGCGGUAAUACGUAGGUGGCAAGCGUUGUCCGGAAUUAUUGGGCGUAAAGGGCUCGCAGGCGGUUCCUUAAGUCUGAUGUGAAAGCCCCCGGCUCAACCGGGGAGGGUCAUUGGAAACUGGGGAACUUGAGUGCAAAAGAAGAGAGUGGAAUUCCACGUGUAGCGGUGAAAUGCGUAUAGAUGUGGAGGAACACCAGUGGCGAAAGCGACUCUCUGGUCUGUAACUGACGCUGAGGAGCGAAAGCGUGGGGAGCGAACAGGAUUACAUACCCUGGUAGUCCACGCCGUAAACGAUGAGUGCUAAGUGUUAGGGGGUUUCCGCCCCUUAGUGCUGCAGCUAACGCAUUAAGCACUCCGCCUGGGGAGUACGGUCGCAAGACUGAAACUCAAAGGAAUUGACGGGGGCC
rnacentral:rRNA from 1 species